UCUGUGUGUGCGUUCGGUGUGUGGCCGGGUGUGGGGGGUGUGUGCGCGGAGCACGUUUUAGCUGGAGUGCUUGGUGUGGUGUGUAUUUGGUUUGCGCUUUGACAUGCAGCAUGUGUUUGUGUGUGCACGCUUAUAGGUUGUAUGUUUCUGCCCGAUUAUAGUGGGAUUAUGUGGGUGCGGUUUGAAGGUGGGUGUGUGCUGUUCCUGCCGGGGUUUGUGGUCGUGCUGUGGUGAGUGUAUAUGUGUGUGCAAUGUGUGGAUGUGUGUGUGCCCGUUGAAGCUUGUGUGCAUAUGUGUGGAGUGUGUUUAUGCUUAGAUGCAGUGUGUCAAUGUGGGUUUACAGGUGGUGUCUGUUGAACUGUGUAGUGUGUGAAUGUGUGCGUGUGCAAGAUUUCUCUAUAAGUCAAUCUACUUGAGAUGUGUGUUCAAAGGUUUAUGCAUGUGAGGGUGCGGUGUGUGUCUUUUGGUGUGAUGUUCUCAUGUGUGUGGUGUGGACGCAUGUGGUCAGCUUACGUGCUUGGAUGAAGGGGUUGUGUGUGUCUUGAAGGGGGAUUGCCGCGUAAGUGUAUGGGUGCGGUGUGUGAGAGUACAGGGUUGUCUAAAAGAACCCAAGUGACCGUGUGUGUGGUUGGGGGCGGGGACGAGUGGGACGUUGGGCUGGGACUGAGAGAAGAAAGGAAGUAGGGGCCGCGACCCCGGCAGGGGUUCCCGCUGGUCUGAUCUUCACCGUGGGGGUUCGCCUGCCCGCCCACCUCUGUGUCGGCAAGGCCCGCUGGGGCAGGGUGUGAAUGUACCUGGCUGCUUAAAGGAAAGAAGAGGAGGGCACCGCACGUGAUUGGCCAGAUGCAAUCCCUAGUGAGCCUGAUGAUCAAACUUCUGAGCGAUCAGAUUCCUGAAAGAGCAGUCUCUCCAUGACAAAAGAUGGAUUUGGAAAUGAGAAAGCAAUUUCUGUAAAACUUCUGCACCUGUGGUAGACUCAGAAACACACACAAGGCUAUAAAUGUCUUUAUGCACUUAUUAAUUUUCCAAUAAACAUACUCAACAGUACACCUAAUAGGGAAGUUCUGUGAUUAAUUUUUCAAACAAUAAGAAAAUAAAUGAUCAGAAAGGCUUAC
rnacentral:lncRNA from 10 species